AUGGAUGCCCCGCGGGCUGCCCGGCCCUCCAGCCAUCCCUCCCUGCUCCAGUUCCUCAGGAGCCUCCUUGGGUACCCGCGGAGCUCCCUGGGGGCACGGGAGCCCCGAGCAGAGCAGCAGGAGCAGGGUGCUGCUGUGAGGCCCCGCAGACUGCAGGCAGAGCGGGUUGAGCCCUCCCAUGGGGAGAUCCUGUGCCAGGAGUGCUGCAAGGAUGAGGAGGGGGACAGUGCAGAGCUGCUGCUGGGGGAGCUGCAGGAAGUCAGCCUGCAGGGAUCGCUGGGCAGCAGCACCAGCAGGAGCUGCCUGACCACCAGCACCAGUGACGUGGAGCCGGCGGCAGUGGGUGAUGGGAUGGAGGCUCCUGGCGGCACCGUGGCCCCGCAGAGCAGUGGGGCAGCUGGCGAGGAGGGGGCGGCUGCAGAUGAAGCCGUCGUUGGCAGAGCUCUGGUGAUGGAUGAGUUCCUUCAAGGUCUGGGUGCUGCUGAUGAAGACACCUGCUCUGCAAGCCCUGAGCCAAUGUUUUCGAUGGACCUUGACACUGAAUGGGAGAAAGAGCAGCUCCUGAAAGCAAAUCAGGGUGCAGGAUCCCCGAAAGCAGAGCUGUCCCUGUGGAACAAGUUCAUCGGCAUGAACAUACACCAGUGGACUGCGCAUAAGCCUCGUGCCUCGAGGAGCUCGAUGGAGCUGGAAAGCGAAGAGGAGCCGCUUCUGCGGGCAGCCGAGAACAGCCCCACGAGCCGCGAGCUGCCCGUCCUGCCCGCAGAACCCUCCGCAGCGCUGCCGAUGUACAGGUUUUCCAAAAGCAGAGCAGCUGCUGGUGGCUUUGGGAGAAGCCAGGCAGAGCUGGGAGCAAACGGAGCAGGAACGCCUGGAGAAGGCUGAGAUGCAGCACCCGCAGAGGUGGCAGAAGCCCCGCGGAGCCGCACUGCAGCUGUCCCGCAGGAGACAUCAGCGCUUCCCCUCUGCUGUGCCCGACCUGCCCAGGAGCCCCGUGCUCCACUUUCCUCCUCUUCUUUCCCUCAUGUUUGUCAUUUGUGUGCACGCCACAUUUUCUUUCUGCUUUCUCCCUUUCCUGUUCCUUGGAGAAGGACCCGUGUGUCUCACUGCGCUGAUGGGAUGGACAGGUUGGUUUGAGUUGGCUUCGAUUAAACAUUUUGUGUCAGUGAGCUCUUCUUGCUUCUCCCUCCGCGCUCUCAAGUUCCCUUAUUAAACAGUUCUCUGUUGAAUUCAUUGUUCUCCUUUCUUUCUUUCCCUCCGCCUUCCAGUUUUUCUUUCACAUCUUCCACAUUGUUCUCCGUGGUUUUUAAGGUGUUUAUGGAUUAAUUUUUUAAUUUGGAGGUAAGAAGAGGCAAGGCUGCCUCCAUUGCCCCCCGCUGCAAAGGAGAGGUGGGAUCCUUCAGCCCAUGGUGGUCUGCUGGUGGUUAACAGUAGCAACCUUCUAUGGGGUGUUGGAGGCGGCUGGCGGACCCCUGCCCUGUGCAGAGAAAUGUCACUCAGCUCUUCAUCUUCCAUUUGAGUACAUGGGAGAAACCAUGUGAGCAGGGCUGGAGGAGCUGCUGGCAGCCCGGCUCCUGCUAAUCUGGGAAUUGUAUGCCAGGAAGCACACACCCAGCCGACCUGCCCCAGACAAAGCCCGCCGUGUCCGCACCGGCUCUCCAGGCGUUCCCUCCACGCCUCGGGGUUAUUUCAGAGUUCUCCCAGCAUGGGAUCCCUCCCCGGACUUCCACCUGCGUUGGCUGUGGGGCAGGAGCGCAUUGCUCCCGGCACGGCUCAGAUGCUCUCCUGCUGCAAAAUGGGGCCGUGCCAUCUAAACUCUCCUGGCCGACCUGAAACAACAGUGGUGAGAGGGGAAUCCCCUCCUUUCUCAUCUUGGAGGAGUUCACUCUGGACCCUAACCUUGGCAAAUUAACCAGGGUCACCGUUACUUUCUUGCUAGAUUCGUUGAGUGGAGCUGUUGUGUCAAUAGACGCAUCCCACAUCGCCUCCCUGGGUCCCAAAACUCUGCGUCCUUGAUGUGUCCUUAGAAACCUUGAGCUCCAAAUAAACUUCUGCGGGAUUUCCCGUUGAAAAGGGCU
ensembl:lncRNA